UGGGGAAUCUUGGACAAUGGGGGCAACCCUGAUCCAGCCAUGCCGCGUGGACGAUGAAGGCCCUAGGGUUGUAAAGUCCUUUCACCGGUGAAGAUAAUGACGGUAGCCGGAGAAGAAGCCCCGGCUAACUCCGUGCCAGCAGCCGCGGUAAUACGGAGGGGGUUAGCGUUGUUCGGAAUUACUGGGCGUAAAGCGCACGUAGGCGGACCAGAAAGUUGGGGGUGAAAUCCCGGGGGCUCAACCCCGGAACUGCCUCCAAAACUAUUGGUCUAGAGUUCGAGAGAGGUGAGUGGAAUUCCAAGUGUAGAGGUGAAAUUCGUAGAUAUUUGGAGGAACACCAGUGGCGAAGGCGGCUCACUGGCUCGAUACUGACGCUGAGGUGCGAAAGUGUGGGGAGCAAACAGGAUUAGAUACCCUGGUAGUCCACACCGUAAAACGAUGAAUGCCAGUCGUCGGGUAGCAUGCUAUUCGGUGACACACCUAACGGAUUAAGCAUUCCGCCUGGGGAGUACGGUCGCAAGAUUAAAACUCAAAGGAAUUG
rnacentral:rRNA from 1 species